rnacentral:lncRNA from 1 species
UUUUUUUUUGGUCUUUUUUUUUUAAAAAAAAAGUUGUGAAAGAAAAAUAUAACUAGCCCUACUUGCUUCAUUUUUCACCCUUCUUUCCCAAGUAUCGGUCCGUCAAAUGACCUUUCUACCCUCAAAGAUGCAACAUGUAUCACAUAGGGAUGAUUGAAUGUUUUUUGGGCCACGGACCCAUUUUGACAAAAUUUGGAUAGGCUUCCUACAAAGGGACACGGUACCUGGGACCGAGCCCUGCUAGGUCUAAAUGACAUGAUGAAAAUAAAAAUGACCUAAAGGCUGACCUAAGUUUGGGGUUCACUAACAAGUCAAUUCGGGGGAGCGUAUGGUCGAUGGUGGCUGCUCAAGCUUUCCACCCACUCCAUACGUCCGGCGGCCCCCCUCCUAAAUUAAGGGUGACUCAACAAAGAGUUCGUGCACGCGACGCGUACUCCGGGACUUGUUGCAGAAAGAAGACUCAUGGUUAUCCAAAUGAUGACAGUUUAUAAAGCAUUAACUCAUUAAGAAAAGCGAUAAACAAGUAACCAACAAAACAAAAAAUAAAACAAACAAACUAAACAAACAAAGCAAAUAAAGAAAACAAACACCUCAACCGAAUAUCCUAAAAGCCAACAAGAUCAAGUAUCAGCUCGAACCUACAACUCCCCAGUAGAGUCGUCAGAGAUGUCACACUCCUUUUUUUAACCAAACUUCACUAACCCCUCUUAAAUAAAUAAAAGGAAUUUAUAAAGCUUGAAAAGGGUUUUUAAUUAAAAAGUGACGAAAUUUUGUGCAAAAGGAAAUUACUCAGAGUCGCCACCUGACAUUGAUUUCGGUGUGUCAGGUCACCGUAUUUUUUGAAAAUAAUUUUUUCUUUUAAAACACUUGGACUCUAAAACCAAGUCCGCGCCAGAGAUUCGGCUAAGGGGGUUCAUUUGACUCAGGGAGAAGGUGUUAGGCAUUCCCCAAGUCCUGUAACUAAUACGGUUGCGUACAUGAUCAAGUUGGCUUUUAGAAUGUUCGAAUUGAGGUAAAACACACAAAAAAAAUAAACAUCCAAAAGGUUCGAGGUCGUCCCUUCCUAAUAAAAGAAAAAUAAAACAAAAUAAAGAAAGUCUUCUUAACUUAUACUACGCCUCCAUUGAUGAUUCCACGACUCCAUUUACAUUUACUUCGCGGCAUUCCCCGAAUGAAUUUAUCUAAGGGACAACCUCUCACCUUACAUUCAAACAUUAUAAGUUAAACUAAACAUCCUGAGGCUUGCCUACCCAAAUGAUGACGGCCUAAGCAUGUUACUAGCGGGGAAGUGAAGAGUUAAUAAUAACUAAAUAGAAUUACUAAACUUUAAAUGUAUUUCCGUUUUCUUUCAAUUUUUAUUUUUUUCAAUUAUACGGCCUUUUAAUUCAAGCUUAACUAAUGAAAUAAUGAUGUAAUAUUUUCUUUUUAAACAAUACUCCACCCACACCCAUUUAUGUAAAACUUGAGCAAUUGAAUACCAAUUUAGUGAUCACAAAAUUAAAUCAAAUUACAGUUCCAUGUGUUCAAACCAACAGAUUCAAAACUAUAAACACUUAAACACGGAAGUAAGGCAAAACACAAGUAAUGGAAGAAGAUUAAAUCUAACUAAAAGUAAAUGAGAUAGUAGAACAGAAAGGAACCUGUUAAGAAAGUGUUCUUUAGUACCCGAAAAUUGAAAUAGCUUUGCCAAAGUGUAAAUCUGAAUGAAGGAGACAACAAUGAGACAAAUCCGAAACCACGAACCAAACUCUAACCGGCAACCCAAAAUCAGCAAACUCUACGAGCAGCAACAAAAUCGGCCAGAACCUCAGUUAGAAUUGAUGGAGUCGAAUGAAAGAUGACGAGCUAACUGGUUUCCGGCGAAGCUCGACUUCGAGCACAUCUUCAAUGUAAGAUUUCAGAGCUGAAAAAAUAGUGACCUUUUUAUGUGAGUUUCAGCUGGUACGUAGGAGAAACAAAUCGAGGGGUCGAUGGUUGUGGGUCGACUGAUUUUCAGUUCCAUUUUGAGAUGAAAAAAGGAUAGUUUUCGAGCUGGUUUUUAGGGGAUUUUCGGGUUAGUUUCCGCUGGUUCCCGUGAAGCUCGCCGGCAAUGGAACCCGGAUGUUUGAGAUCUAGAAACAGUUGGGAUGGGAGUGCUUUUGUGUGCGUUAGCUUCAAGAAAAUGAGACGAGGGGUCGUUCGUGUCAGCCCGGAGAGAGAGGAGGUCAGUUCGCCAGAGUUGAAGGGGUCGCCGACGGCUGGAGAUGGAGGAGUUAGCUGGUCGUGGAUGUGUGUGGAGUGGUCGCCGGCAGGUGAAGGUUGAUUCGGCAGCUGACUGUUCUUUUAGGGUUUUUUGUAUCUUUUUGUCUUGUGUUCAAGAAAAAGAUCUCAUGGGAUUCUUCUUAUGGUUUGUCCUGGAGAAGAAGAUGAAGGUCUGCUCCAUGUUUUGUGUAAUCUGUUGAAGAAGAUGAAGGUCUUCUCCAUGUGAAAUACGGUUGAACCCCUCCCUCUAGGUCUACGGUUUUUG